rnacentral:lncRNA from 1 species
GGGUUCAAGCAAUUCUCCUGCCUCAGCCUUCCAAGUAGCUGGGAUUACAGGUGCCCACCACCAUGCCCAGCUAAUUUUUUGUAUUUUUAGUAGAGACAGGAUUUCACCAUGUUAGCCAGGCUGGUCUCGAACUCCUAACCUCAGGUGAUGCACCUGCCUUGGCCUCCCAAAGUGCUGGGAUUACAGGUGUAAGCCACUGCGCCUGGCCUGACAGAAACAACUUUUUAUUUAUGCAACUCAAAGUAAGAGAAUUCCUGAGAAAGCCCCAAAUAGUGGUGUUCAUUUUCAUUUGAAAGUAUUAAGGGACAAAUACAUAUUCAUCCUCUUUAUCAAUUAUCUUGGAUUCAGAUGGUAAAGGAAGUCUGAAGUACUUUAGGCAGCCUCGUCUACUUUGUCUCACAUGUGCUGAAGGAACGUUAUGCCCUGUGUUGUAUUUUAAAGGGAACAUGCUGGUGGAAUGAGGCAAGGAAGAGAGACCUGCAGACCAGAAAUGAUUAAACACCCUUCACAAUGUCCACAGUAAGGACACGGGUGUUUCACAGAAAUGUGUUAGGUUCCCAGGUACAAAUGGUGUAUUAAGGAGCGCAUUCUCAAUGAUUAACAAGUCUGGGAGGGGAAAAGAUCUAAAAACAAGCCCUUCGGUGACCACUAAGGCAGCAACAUUCAUUUUCCUUGCCAAGAAAUGUUUGUAAAAGUUAAGACUCAGCAAGUCCAGAACAGGCUAAGUCCUUCAGGCAAGAGGAAAUAAAUAACCCCUCGAUCACAAUCAUGGGACGGUGGCAACACAGAUCG